GACGAACGCUGGCGGUGUGCCUCACACAUGCAAGUCGAACGAGGUAGCAAUACCUAGUGGCGGACGGGUGAGUAACACGUGGGAAUCUGCCUUUGGAUGGGGGAUAACGAACCGAAAGGUUCGCUAAUACCGCAUAUGCGUGUAUCCCGACAGGGGUGCAUGUAAAAGGAGUAAUCCGUCUGAAGAUGAGCCCGCGUCCGAUUAGCUAGUUGGUAGGGUAAAAGCCUACCAAGGCGACGAUCGGUAGCUGGUCUGAGAGGAUGAUCAGCCACAAUGGGACUGAGACACGGCCCAUACUCCUACGGGAGGCAGCAGUGGGGAAUUUUACGCAAUGGGGGAAACCCUGACGUAGCGACACCGCGUGAGCGAAGAAGCCCUUUGGGGUGUAAAGCUCUGUCAGCAGGAACGAAACAAAUGACGGUACCUGCAGAGGAAGCAUCGGCUAACUACGUGCCAGCAGCCGCAGUAAUAC
rnacentral:rRNA from 1 species